UCUGGUGUCAGCCGCCGCGGUAAAACCAGCACCUCAAGUGGUCAGGAUGAUUAUUGGGCCUAAAGCAUCCGUAGCCGGCGCUGUAAGUUUUCGGUUAAAUCUGUACGCUCAACGUACAGGCUGCCGGGAAUACUGCAGCGCUAGGGAGUGGGAGAGGUAGACGGUACUCGGUAGGAAGGGGUAAAAUCCUUUGAUCUAUUGAUGACCACCUGUGGCGAAGGCGGUCUACCAGAACACGUCCGACGGUGAGGGAUGAAAGCUGGGGGAGCAAACCGGAUUAGAUACCCGGGUAGUCCCAGCUGUAAACUAUGCAAACCCAGUGAUGCAUUGGCUUGUGGCCAAUGCAGUGCUGCAGGGAAGCCGUUAAGUUUGCCGCCUGGGAAGUACGUACGCAAGUAUGAAACUUAAAG
rnacentral:rRNA from 2 species